GACGAACGCUGGCGGCGUGCUUAACACAUGCAAGUCGAACGAUGAAGCUAGAGCUUGCUCUGGUGGAUUAGUGGCGAACGGGUGAGUAACACGUGAGUAACCUGCCCCGAACUCUGGGAUAACUGCUGGAAACGGUAGCUAAUACUGGAUACGACCAACGAAGGCAUCUUCUGUUGGUGGAAAGAAUUUCGGUUCGGGAUGGACUCGCGGCCUAUCAGCUUGUUGGUGGGGUAACGGCUCACCAAGGCGACGACGGGUAGCCGGCCUGAGAGGGUGGUCGGCCAGACUGGGACUGAGACACGGCCCCGACUCCUACGGGAGGCAGCAGUGGGGAAUAUUGCACAAUGGGCGCAAGCCUGAUGCAGCAACGCCGCGUGAGGGAUGACGGCCUUCGGGUUGUAAACCUCUUUUAGGAGGGAAGAAGCGAAAGUGACGGUACCUGCAGAAAAAGCACCGGCUAACUACGUGCCAGCCGCCGCCGUAA
rnacentral:rRNA from 1 species